rnacentral:misc_RNA from 1 species
ACGAGAUCCACAAUUAUGUUCCGUCGUGCACAAAUUACAAUAUAUUCACGACAUACGGGAAUGAGAGUAUCGCAAUCUCCUUCAUCAUGCAUACCUCUUCAAGUCUUCAAGAUUCUUGUUGUCCAUUCCAAGAUUCACGCGGACGCCAGAUCUUUGCUUGGGCUAAGAAGAAUAAUGACUAAAACGACAAAGGCCACAACUGUACAGCCAAAUGCAGCAAUUGCAGAUGCUGCGAGGCCGCCUCGUUCUCUUGGGUCCUUGCGAUAACGUUUGCUGAAAUACAGAAUCGUCGCAUAAUACCACAUUACAGGGCACAGAAACCCUACAAGAAAAGAAAACCAUCCAAUACCACAGCCAAAACAUGGAAGUGGUUUGCUAAACAUGCCCAAUCGAGAAUCCUCUUCAUCCCCAAUCAAAAUAUACUUCCCACUGCGGUCCUUAAUAUGUUCGUCAUGUUGCCCUAUAAGCUUCAUUUCGGAUGAGGAUACUGUAUCAUGUUCAAGACUUGAUAUUUGAGAAUUGGCUUGCUUCAUGGGCAUGAGUUUCAAUCACAUAUAGACCUUGUAUCUUCUGCCAGCCUCCAAGAACUUGUGAGAAUCUGAACCGUGAGGAGAGGGGCGAGGAUCGAGUAUAUAUACGGGGGAUUAAUAUUUAGGGAGAGUGACGGAAAGCGAGAGGGGGGACUAUUGGCCUCCCUCUUUUGAAAACCGAGGACAGCCG